rnacentral:rRNA from 1 species
GAAACUAUCAAGGAUUCCCCUAGUAACUGCGAGUGAAGCGGGAAAAGCUCAAAUUUAAAAUCUGGCAGUCUUUGAUUGUCCGAGUUGUAAACUAGAGAAGUGUUAUCCGCGCUGGACCGUGUAAAAGUCUCCUGGAAUGGAGCAUCAUAGAGGGUGAGAAUCCCGUCUUUGACAUGGACUACCAGUGCUUUGUGAUGCGCUCUCAAAGAGUCGAGUUGUUUGGGAAUGCAGCUCAAAAUGGGUGGUAAAUUCCAUCUAAAGCUAAAUAUUGGCGAGAGACCGAUAGCGAACAAGUACCGUGAGGGAAAGAUGAAAAGAACUUUGGAAAGAGAGUUAAACAGUACGUGAAAUUGCUGAAAGGGAAACGCUUGAAGUCAGUCGCGUUGGCCAGGAAUCAACCUUGCUUUUGCUGGGCGUACUUUCUGGUCGACGGGUCAGCAUCAAUUUUGACUGCUGGAAAAAGUUCAAGGGAAUGUGGCAUCUUCGGAUGUGUUAUAGCCCUUGUUCGCAUACAGCAGUUGGGAUUGAGGAACUCAGCACGCCGCAAGGCCGGGUUUCGACCACGUUCGUGCUUAGGAUGCUGGCAUAAUGGCUUUAAUCGACCCGUCUUGAAACACGGACCAAGGAGUCUAACAUGCCUGCGAGUGUUUGGGUGGAAAACCCAAGCGCGCAAUGAAAGUGAAAGUUGAGAUCCCUGUCGUGGGGAGCAUCGACGCCCGGACCAGACCUUUUGUGACGGAUCCGCGGUAGAGCAUGUAUGUUGGGACCCGAAAGAUGGUGAACUAUGCCUGAAUAGGGUGAAGCCAGAGGAAACUCUGGUGGAGGCUCGUAGCGAUUCUGACGUGCAAAUCGAUCGUCAAAUUUGGGUAUAGGGGCGAAAGACUAAUCG